GCCCUGGUGGCCAAGCGGUAAGGCGCGUCACUCGUAAUGACGAGAUCGCCGGUUCAAUUCCGGUCCAGGGCA